ACAAAAGGGCAUUCAAUUUUUUGCCAAUUGUCUAAACCCGCUUCAACAUCCGUUCAACCUGAAGUGCCAAGUAUUAAACAAUCGUAUGCACCAUUGCGUCACAUGACGCACUCUGCGCGCGCCACUCCACUAUCACUGCGUAUGCGCCACUGACAAGCGGGAGGAGAAAACAGAAAAUCCCAGAGAUAUCUGAGAUGCGAGCUGUCAUAGCGACUGGACUCUCUGCCCUUGUACUGCUCAGCAAAAUGCAGUUUGACUCAGUCAAAACACAUAGCAGUGUGAAGAAACCAAAGAUUGACCAUAACACCCAAGGGAUGGGCUGAACCUUCAAAGAUGGACUGCUUUCGCAGAACCAAAGAGGACAAAUAAUAACACACAAUCACCAUCAACAAUAACAAUACUCGAAAAGGGCUCCAAAACAACAACUCCUUCAGAUUCAUUACCACUUCCGUCUUCUGCAGAUGACGUCACUUCCAGUCCCGUGAGGAUGAUGUGACUUCCGGUCAACACUGAUGAUGUCACUUCUGGCCAAUCCCAAUGACAACACGUCCGGUCCCGCUAUAACAGGGGUGGGCAAAGUCAUUCCUGGAGGGCCGCAGUGGCUGCAGGU